AGGGUCCAGUGUGCUUUGAAGAUGUUGCUGUUUGUUUCACAGAUGAGGAGUGGGAGUUGCUGGAUCCUGACCAGAGAGCUCUGCAUAAAGAUGUCAUGGAGGAGAAUCAUGGGAUCGUGGCCACUCUUGGUAAGGAACCCUUUUGAAUCCUAAUAUCUGUUUUUAAAUUCAAAACAGCUCUCUGUGAUGAACCUCAUAUAUUUUCACAGAACUCAACAGCGCCCCCUUAAGUCACCUGGGAUUACAAUAUUGCAGCGUCUGAACUCCCCAGGCCAUUUUAAGUGUAAACUUCAGAGUUAGGGAAGUUGGAGUAGCUUAUCGAAUCACAGGUUCCCCUAAGGAUGUCGGUUGAUUAAUUAAUGCACCCAACCCUUCAGAAAACCAUCCGUCUAACCCACUUGUGUUAUUCCUCUAUUACCAGUGUUAACAAGUCUUCUUCCUUAAUUUGUCCCUGAGGCGCUAAUCCAUUACUCUUCAUUGCAGAUAGUGAUGGACUGGAAAUCGAGGAAAAGGGUGACCAUGACAAAAUCCCCACAAUGGAGAAGCUGAAUAAAUAUCUUGAAAGUAGAAAAAGUUCCAAUUCCACUUCCCAUCAAGGAAAUCUCAUUAGGAAGAAACCCUAUCAGUGCAUAGAAUGUGGAAAGAGCUUCAGGAAGAGCUCCUCUCUGACUUCCCAUCAGAGAAUUCAUACAGGGGAGAAGCCCUAUCAGUGUGUGGAAUGUGGAAAGACCUUCAGCGACAGCAGCAAUCUCACUUCCCAUCAAAGAAUUCAUACAGGGGAGAAGCCCUAUCAGUGCAUGGAAUGUGGAAAGAGCUUCGGACAGACAGCCCAUCUCACUUCCCAUCAAAGAAUUCAUACAGGGGAGAAACCCUAUCAGUGUGUGGAAUGUGGAAAAGGCUUCAGUCAGAGAGCCAAUCUCUCUUCCCAUCAAAGAAUUCAUACAGGGGAGAAACCCUAUCAGUGCGUAGUAUGUGGAAAGAGCUUCACUAAUAGCUGCAGUCUCACUUCCCAUCAGAGAAUUCAUACAGGGGAGAAACCCUAUCAGUGUGUGGAAUGUGGAAAGAGCUUUAGUCAGAGCUCCUCUCUCACUUCUCAUCAAAGAAUUCAUACAGGCAAGAAACCCUAUCAGUGCGUAGUAUGUGGAAAGAGCUUCAAUGGUAACUCUAAUCUCACUUCCCAUCAGAGAAUUCAUACAGGGGAGAACCCCUAUCAGUG